CUCACCAAGAGGAGAAGAAAAAGGUGGAAGACAAGAAGAAGGAGCUUGAGGAGGAGGUGAGCAACUUCCAGAAGAAGAAGGCGGCGGCUCAGCUCUUGCAGUCGCAGGCCCAGCAGUCUGGGGCCCAGCAGACCAAGAAGGACAAGGAUAAGAAAAAUGCAAGCUUCGCAUAAAGGCCUGGCAAGCCAAGGACGCUCCCGCAUUCACCUGCUUUGGCAGUAGUAGCGUACCUCUGUCAUCUGUGUCCUGUUUGAUUCAUUGUUUCAGCCUUUCCCCAGAUACCAGUAACUUAGCUCAUUUUACUGAACGAUGUCAGGUGGUGGGAAACUAGCACAGGGGACGUCAGCAAGCGCACGCGCAGCUGGACUUUGUUUCUGGAAAGUUGAUGAUUUGCCUUGUAUGCCUGUUCCAAGUGGCAGCAGGAAGCAUGUCUGUCACUUGUAUGUCGCUUUGGACCAAGGAAAGCGGGGUAAAAUAACUACCUGUAUGUCUGGAGGGAAAACUCACUGCCUCAGCAGCUGAGCUAAAACCCUGAGUAGCCAUGGCAACAACUUGCAUUUUCUUAAUUGUGCGUCUCAUGCUUGCCCAACCCCUGAAUUCAUCGUCCCUUCUUUAGACUUGCCACAAACCAGAGGUGGGCAAGAAAGUCAGCAGAAACAUGAGCGAGCGUCCAAGACAGCUUUUCCCCCUCUUCCGGCUUUUUCAUUUAAUCGCUUGCUUACUUGGCCCAAGCCUAUGAUUUGCUCAGGCUGUCUUAGGGAUGGAGUCUGCCUCUGAGUGCCCACUGUCCAGCAGGCCCAAAGCUACAGACUGGCAUAAGAAACAGGAUUCCGUUCACCUCACCGGCGAGUCCCUGGUGUCCUCAUGAGUCCAGAUCUUAAAGACCCCCUCAUUAGGUAUUGCUUAGCUAAAGAAUCUUCUAUUAAGGACAUUAUAUACUCAGCACCCCUUCUACACGCGCGCGCGCGCGCACACACACACACACACACACACACACACACACACACACACACACACACACACACACACACACACACGCGCGCGCGCCACAUGGGUGCUUUGCUUUAAGAAGGCUGACGGGAGACCUGGAGGCUGAUUCUACUUCUAAUAGAAGUUUUCAUGAAUCACCAUGAGAAAACUUGCAAUACAGAAAGGAUGACGGUAGCAGGGGGGUGAUCGGACAGUGCCGCCACUAUUCAAAGUAGAGAUCAAUUAGGCUGAUACCGGCCUCCAGUCCAGCUCCUUGCUGAUGUUGAAACUCAGUUGCCGCUAAGGAGUUUUCCUUACUGUCUCCUCACUGUGACCUGCUCUGACUCUUGGGUCCAUCAGUUUCUCUCAACUUACCCCAGAUGAGGAUUAACUCAGGAGCUAGGACAUGUCCUGCCUGCCUGCUUGUGUGAGAACAAUUGUCUGUCCUGUCCUCCUCUCUCUGCCACUCCUCCUGUCACCUGCU
rnacentral:lncRNA from 1 species